CCAGCACUCGGGAGGCAGAGGCAGGCCGAUCUCUCACUUGGGAGGCAACGACAAGAAGAUCAAGAGUUCAAGACCAGCCUUGGCUACAUAUUGCAUUUGGGCUGAUUUGGGCUACCUGAAACUGACUCAGAAAGAAAACCAACAACAACAACAAACGAAGAACAGCCAGGCUAAAGUAAUGGAGUAAAGAGAGUAAAGAGGAUACCAAGCAGACAGCCUGAGACUGAUCCUUGGUACCUACGUGGUAUGGAAGGAGAGAACUGACUCCCAAGAGUUUAUCUUAGGCACUUCCUAUGCUUGCCAUAGCAUGUGCUUACCCUCCUAAAUAAGUAACUGUAAUAAAAGAUGUACUUAAAUAAAAAUAAAUAAAUAUAUAAAACAGAA